GAAGUACUCCUUCCGUUCGGAAUUACUUGUCGCAGAAAUGGAUGUAUCUAGACGUAUUUCAGUUCUAGAUACAUUCAUUUCCGAGACAAGUAAUUCGGAACGGAGGAAGUACAUG
rnacentral:pre_miRNA from 1 species